UACGUAGGUGGCAAGCGUUGUUCGGAAUUACUGGGCGUAAAGCGCGCGUAGGCGGCUCUUCAAGUCAGGCGUGAAAGCCCCGGGCUUAACUCGGGAACUGCGCUUGAUACUGUCGAGCUAGAGUGUGGAAGGGGCGAUUGGAAUUCCGUGUGUAGCGGUGAAAUGCGCAGAUAUCAGGAGGAACACCGGUGGCGAAGGCGGCUUUCUGGACGACAACUGACGCUGAGACGCGAAAGCGUGGGUAGCAAACAGG
rnacentral:rRNA from 1 species